UAAUCAUAUGCUUGUCUCAAAGAUUAAGCCAUGCAUGUCUAAGUACACACCUUGGUAAAGUGAAACCGCGAAUGGCUCAUUAAAUCAGCUAUGGUUCCUUAGAUCACUAAUAUCCUUAAUUGGAUAACUGUAGUAAUUCUAGAGCUAAUACAUGCCUCGAUGCCUUGACCUCACGGGAUGGGCGCACUUAUUAGAUCAAAAUCAAUCGGGUUUAACCGCCUGUUGGUUUUGAUGACUCUGGAUAAUUUUAGACUACAGAUCGCAUGGCCUUGUGCCGGCGACAGAUCUUUCAAAUGUCUGCCCUAUCAACUAGAUGGUAGGUAAACUGCCUACCAUGGUGAUAACGGGUAACGGGGAAUCAGGGUUCGAUUCCGGAGAGGGAGCCUGAGAAAUAGCUACCACAUCCAAGGAAGGCAGCAGGCGCGCAAAUUACCCACUCCCGGCACGGGGAGGUAGUGACGAAAAAUAACGAUACGGGACUCAUAUCGAGGCCCCGUAAUCGGAAUGAGUACACUUUAAAUCCUUUAACGAGGAUCAAUUGGAGGGCAAGUCUGGUGCCAGCAGCCGCGGUAAUUCCAGCUCCAAUAGCGUAUAUUAAAGUUGUUGCAGUUAAAAAGCUCGUAGUUGGAUCUGGGGACAAAUAUGGAUGGUUCGCCUUCGGGUGUCACCGUCUGUGUGUUCCUACACUGUCGUGGAUGCCUUUGGUGUUCUUAAUUGAAUGCCUUGGGUGCCCGGCCUGAUUACUUUGAAAAAAUUAGAGUGCUUAAAGCAGGCCUUGUGCUUGUAUAUUGUUGCAUGGAAUAAUAGAAUAGGACCUCGGUUCUAUUUUAUUGGUUUUCGGAACUGAGGUAAUGAUUAACAGAGACUGACGGGGGCAUAAGUAUACCGGCGCUAGAGGUGAAAUUCUUGGACCGUCGGUAGACUACCUACUGCGAAAGCAUUUGCCAAGAAUGUUUUCACUAAUCAAGAACGAAAGUCAGAGGUUCGAAGACGAUCAGAUACCGUCCUAGUUCUGACCAUAAAUGAUAUCAACUAAUUAUUGACAAAGGCGCUUGUUCGCCCGAGUCAGCAGCCUUCGGGAAACCAAAGUGUUCAGAUCCCGGGGGUAGUAUGGUUGCAAGACUGAAACUUAAAGGAAUUGACGGAAGGGCACCACCAGGAGUGGAGCCUGCGGCUUAAUUUGACUCAACACGGGAAAACUCACCCGGCCCGGACACUCGAAGGAUUGACAGAUUAAGUGCUCUUUCUUAAUUAAGUGGUUGGUGGUGCAUGGCCGUUCUUAGUUGGUGGAGUGAUUUGUCUGGUUGAUUCCGAUAACGAGCGAGACUCAUGCCUGCUAAAUAGCAAGCUGGCAAAUGUCAUCAGACAAAUAAAAACCAUAGAAUCGUGCUUCUUAGAGGGAUUUAUGUCUCUCAGACAUAUCAACAAUGAGCAAUAACAGGUCUGUGAUGCCCUUAGAUGUCCGGGGCCGCACGCGCGCUACACUGAAAGCUUCAACAAGUUUUCCUGGCUUGAAAAGGCUGGGUAAUCUAGUUGAAUAGUUUUCGUGACAGGAAUCGGGGCUUGCAAUUCACCCCGUGAACGAGGAAUUCCCAGUAAGCGCAAGUCAUCAGCUUGCGUUGAUUACGUCCCUGCCCUUUGUACACACCGCCCGUCGCUACUACCGAUUGAAUGGUUUAGUGAGGUCCUUGGAUUGGUGUUGACGAGGUGGUUUCCACUUUGUUGAUAUCGAGAAGAAGAUCAAACUUGAUCAUUUAGAGGAAGUAAAAGUCGUAACAAGGUUUCCGU
rnacentral:rRNA from 1 species